GACGAACGCUGGCGGCGGGCUUAACACAUGCAAGUCGAACGGAAAGGCCCUGCUUUUGUGGGGUGCUCGAUUGGCGAACGCGGGCGUAACAGGUGAGUAACCUGCCCUUGACUUUGGGAUAACUUCAGGAAACUGGGGCUAAUACCGGAUAGGAGCUCCUGCUGCGUGGUGGGGGGUGGAAAUUUUCGGCGGUCGUGGAUGGACUCGCGGCUUAUCGGCUUGUUGGUGGGGUAGUGGCUGGCCAAGGGUUUGACGGGUAGCCGGCCUGAGAGGGUGAACGGCCCCAUUGGGACUGCGGUACGGAACAGACUCGUAUGGGAGGCAGCAGUGGCGAAUAUUGCCCAAUGGGCGGAAGCCUGAUGCAGAAGCGCCGCGUGCGGGAUGACGGCCUUCGGGUUGUAAACCGCUUUCGCCUGUGACGAAGCGUGAGUGACGGUAAUGGGUAAAGAAGCACCGGCUAACUACGUG
rnacentral:rRNA from 1 species